AACACAUUCAAGUCGAACGAAGCACUGAGGAUGAGACCUUCGGGUGGAAUUCUCAUUGACUGAGUGGCGGACGGGUGAGUAACGCGUGAGCAACCUGCCUUUGUGAGGGGAAUAACGUCGGGAAACUGACGCUAAUACCGCAUAUACUUACGGAAUCGCAUGAUUCUGUAAGGAAAGAUGGCCUCUGAACAUGCUAUCGCAAAAGGAUGGACCCGCGUCUGAUUAGCUAGUUGGUGAGGUAACGGCUCACCAAGGCGACGAUCAGUAGCCGGCCUGAGAGGGUGAACGGCCACAUUGGGACUGAGACACGGCCCAAACUCCUACGGGAGGCAGCAGUGGGGAAUCUUCCGCAAUGGGCGAAAGCCUGACGGAGCAAUGCCGCGUGAGUGAAGAAGGCCUUCGGGUUGUAAAACUCUGUCCUUAUUGAAGAGAGGUAGCAGUGUGAAUAAUGCUGUUAUAGGACGGUAAAUAAGGAGGAAGCCCCGGCUAACUACGUG
rnacentral:rRNA from 1 species